rnacentral:rRNA from 1 species
CAGCAGCCGCGGUAAUACAGAGGGUGCGAGCGUUAAUCGGAUUUGCUGGGCGUAAAGCGUGCGUAGGCGGCUUUUUAAGUCGGAUGUGAAAUCCCUGAGCUUAACUUAGGAAUUGCAUUCGAUACUGGGAAGCUAGAGUAUGGGAGAGGAUGGUAGAAUUCCAGGUGUAGCGGUGAAAUGCGUAGAGAUCUGGAGGAAUACCGAUGGCGAAGGCAGCCAUCUGGCCUAAUACUGACGCUGAGGUACGAAAGCAUGGGGAGCAAACAGGAUUAGAUACCCGCGUAGUCCCUGUCUCUUAUAC